AUUGACCGCUGGCGGCAGGCUUAACACAUGCAAGUCGAGCGGGGUGAUGGUGCUUGCACUAUCACUUAGCGGCGGACGGGUGAGUAAUGCUUAGGAAUCUGCCUAUUAGUGGGGGACAACAUCUCGAAAGGGAUGCUAAUACCGCAUACGUCCUACGGGAGAAAGCAGGGGAUCACUUGCGACCUUGCGCUAACAUAUGAGCCUAAGUCGGAGUAGCUAGUUGGUGGGGUAAAGGCGUACCAAGGCGACGAUCUGUAGCGGGUCUGAGAGGAUGAUCCGCCACACUGGGACUGAGACACGGCCCAGACUCCUGCGGGAGGCAGCAGUGGGGAAUAUUGGACAAUGGGGGGAACCCUGAUCCAGCCAUGCCGCGUGUGUGAAGAAGGCCUUAUGGUUGUAAAGCACUUUAAGCGAGGAGGAGGCUCUUUUGGUUAAUACCCAAGAUGAGUGGACGUUACUCGCAGAAUAAGCACCGGCUAACUCUGUGCCAGCAGCCGCGGUAA
rnacentral:rRNA from 1 species